AGCAGCCGCGGUAAUUCCAGCUCCAAUAGCGUAUAUUAAAGUUGUUGCAGUUAAAAAGCUCGUAGUUGAAUUUCGGGAUCAAUAUAUCGGUCGUGCCUUGGUACGUACUGGUAUCAUUGGUUUCUCCUUUCUGACGAACCAUGAUGUCAUUAAUUUGGUGUUAUGGGAAGUUAGGACUGUUACUUUGAAAAAACUAGAGUGUUUAAAGCAGGCUUUAGCUUGAAUACAUUAGCAUGGAAUAAUGAAAUAGGACGUUCGAACCUAUUUUGUUGGUUUCUAGGAUCAACGUAAUGAUUAAUAGGGAUAGUUGGGGGCAUUAGUAUUCAAUUGUCAGAGGUGAAAUUCUUGGAUUUAUUGAAGACUAACUACUGCGAAAGCAUUUGCCAAGGAUGUUUUCAUUAAUCAAGAACGAAAGUUAGGGGAUCGAAGACGAUCAGAUACCGUCGUAGUCUUAACCAUAAACUAUGCCGACUAGGGAUCGGAUGAUGUUAAUUUUUUAAUGACUCAUUCGGCGCCUUAC
rnacentral:rRNA from 1 species